UCCAUCCCGACUUCGUCUGCAUUCGGCAGGACGGCUCCCCUGGUGCUCGGCGUGGCUGGAGCCCUGAGCAGCCGGAGGGUGGGUAUCUGCAAGCCUGCACGGCAGCCCUGGGUGAGAAGUUCUUCUGCAAGGAGUCAGCGUUAGCAGUGGGCGAUGCCUUCGAGCACCCUGGGGCAAGUUACAGCAUGCGUGGGACAGUUGCUUGUGCUCUCCAGUACUGGGUAUUAUCUGUGGAGGACAGCGCAGCUCGUUAUUCUGGUUUGGAAGCAGAACUUGGGAGGAGCCAGUAUCAGACAGGAACGGCAGAGCCCGCUGCCAAGAAGAACGGAGGAGGCCGCUUGCCUUUCUGCCUUGCAGAUACUCGGCCUUUCGGAGGGAGCCGGGCAGCUGCUGCGAGAUGUCUACGAUCAUGAAGUGGUUUGGGAGAGACGAGGACAAGGACAAGGACAAAGACAAGGAGAAGGAGAAGAUCAAGG